UACAGAGGUCUCAAGCGUUGUUCGGAUUCAUUGGGCGUAAAGGGUGCGUAGGCGGCGCGGUAAGUCGGGUGUGAAAUCUUGGAGCUUAACUCCGAAACUGCAUUCGAUACUGCCGUGCUUGAGGACUGGAGAGGAGACUGGAAUUUACGGUGUAGCGGUGAAAUGCGUAGAUAUCGUAAGGAAGACCAGUGGCGAAGGCGGGGCUCUGGAAAGUUCCUGACGCUGAGGCACGAAGGUCAGGGGAGCAAACGGG
rnacentral:rRNA from 1 species